GAUGAACGCUGGCGGCGUGCCUAAUACAUGCAAGUCGAGCGGACAGACGAUGAUCUUGCGGCUCUGACGUUAGCGGCGGACGUGUGAGUAACGCGUGUAUAACCUACCUAUAAGACGGGUAUAACUUCGGAAAACCGGAGCUAAUACCGUAUAAGAUCUUGAACCGCGUUGGUCAAUGGUGAGAUACGGUGUUGCGGUCACGUAUAGAGGGAUCCGCGCUUCAUUAGCUGGUUGGUAAGGUAACGGCUUACCAAGGCAACGAUGCGUAGACGACGUGAGAGGGUGAUAGGCCACCCUAGAACUGAGCCACGGACAUGAGUACUACGGGAGGGCGCAGUAGGGAACCUUACGCAAUGGGCGAAAGCAUGACGGAGCAACGCCGAGUGAGUGAUGACGGUCUUCGGAUCGUAAAACCCUGUUAUUAGGGAAGAACAAAUGUGUAAGUAACCGUGCACUUAUUGACGGUAACUAAUCAGAAAGCCACGGCUAACUACGUG
rnacentral:rRNA from 1 species